AGUCUCCUUGCUGUGGGACGAGCCUCUGCCUUCCUGCCAGAGAUGUGACUCCCGCUUGAAGGGGAUUUUUUUUGUUGUUUUGAGAUGGAAUGUGGGAGGGCUGAAGCUAGCUAUAUGUGGAAGAGACUAUCUGUGGCUGAAACUGGAAGGUUUAGGGAGGUGGAGCAGAAAAAAGAAAGGAAGGAGUCUCGCCGGAGCCUGCUGGGGACCGCGGCCCGCGGGUGGCCGCCCCGGAUGCCUGAAACCGAGGAGUUAAAUACAGUCUCCGAAGACCCGCGCAUCGAUGUGCAUAAGUGGUGCUUAAAAGAUGCCAAGGAAAUGUACCAGAAUAGUGAGAGUAUUAACGCUGGGAUUGCACAUGGUUUUUGUUUUUCAAAUAUUUGUAUUUCCCAAUAUUUCUAAAGUGGCUUUUAUCAUUAGAGUUAUUACAUUUUAAAAACGACAUUUGCUUUAUGAAAUAGAGUCCUGAAAUUUGUAAAUAGCUUUUGAAACGCAAUGGGGAAAGUAAAGGAUUACAAAGCUGCUGAAAAGAAAACCUCUGGUGAAUCCUUUUGUAAAUCAAGGCAUCUUUGUAACUGCUACCUAGUUGACUUGUUUUAAAGUUUGGAUUUUUUGAUACUGCGUUUUCUUACAGUUAGAAACAUUCUUAGGUGCAAUAUCAUUAAGUUGAAUCAUGCGCCAUUCCUCUCUACACCUCCAAAAAAAAAGAGAGAAAGUAGUUUUCCAUUCAAAGAUGUCUUAGAACACUCAGACCCAUGUAUAAGACACUGAAAAGCAGUGGUGCCCAGGGAGCUCUCCGUUCUUCCCGUUUUCUCAAGAAAUUGAGCUAGGAAGCCAUGUAUAAAGUUACGUCGAAGUUCAGUGUGAGGCCAGGAGUGGUACAGGCUUAUGUCUGUAAUCCCAACAUUUUGGGAAGCCAAGGCAGAAGGGUUGCUUGUGGUCAAGAAUUGGAGACCAGCCUGCGCAAUAUGUCCAGACUCUUGUCUCUACAAAAAAAUAGAAGAGUAAUAAUUUUAAAAAAUCAGACGAGCUUGGUGUAAUCCCGGCUACUACUCAGGAGGCUGAAUCGAGAGGAUGGCUGGAGCCCAGGAGUAGGAGGUUACAGUGACCUAUGAUGUCACCACUGCACUUCAGUCUGGGUGAGAGAGUGAGACUGUUUCUAUAAUAAAAUGAAUUCAAUGUGGGGAAAUGCCAGUGUUGUUUGUUCGGUGUUUUUUAAGGGCCUGUCAGCUGUCAGAUCACUGAAUCAAACUGUACAAAGCCUCUAGUAGCAUAAGAGUGUGGAUUUGCCUGAGCUGCAACAUUUGUUUAGGUCCCUCAGUGACUGGAUGAUGAGGAACAAUAGGAAGUUCUAAGAAGGACAAUGAUAAUUAUUAAGGAAAAACAAAUAAGUCAAAUACAGGCCCAUUUAUUUAAAGUUGGGUGAACAGUAUAAAUGAUCAGCAAAAUACAUUAAACCAAUUCAGUAAACAUGAUGAGCAUAGGUUGCAUUACGUUAAUAUUGUAUCACAUUACGGUUAUAUCACAUUCCAAUCAUAGUUCUUUUUUUUCUUUUUUCGCCAUUAUGAUCUAUUCUCCUCCUAAACAAGACAAGGACCUUGGCACACUUGACCUAUUGAAUACCCCUUUUCUUCCCUGUUAUUGGCAAAUAUUUUAUUUCACCUCAUUUUUUUUGAAAAAAAACGUUUAUUUUUUAAUCAGUCAGUACUUAUUUACAUUUAUCAAUUGUAUCAUCAAGAUCAGUGGCAUGGUAGGUGGGAGAAAGGAUGAGUGUGGAGCACAUUGAUCCAACUGGGAAAAAUAAUUUAUUACUGACCCUGUUUGGAAUUGCCAAUGCAUGUGGUAAUAAAAAGCAGAUGAACAAUUAGUCUCUUUAUUAUUGUUUUAAAUUAUCCACAGACAAUGUACCCCCUCCACCACGUAGAAUGGUGUAGACUAUUCCCACACCACCCCAGCCUUGGUACACCAAUGAUCAGGAUAGAUUAGAUUAUGUUGCAGUAGUUCCUUAAAUACCAUCUUGUAAUUCCUCGUUUUUGAUGACCUUUACAGUUUUUAGGAGUACUGCUUUAGUAUUUUUGUAGAACGUCCCUCAAUUGGGGUUUGUCUUAGGUUUUUUUCUUAUAAUUACAUGGGGACUAUGGAUGUUUUAGAAGGAAAACUACAGAGGUAUAAAGUACCAUUCUCAUCACAUCAUAUCAAGGGUACAUCUAUUAAUACGACUUAUCCUUGUUGAUGUCAACAUUAAUCAGAGGUUGAGAUCAAGUUAUUCUACUUAAAGUUACCCUUUUCCCUCUCUUUUUGUACUGGAAGAAAGUCACUAUGUGCAGCCAACACUGAAGAAUGUGGAUUUACCUGAACUGCAACAUUUCCUUGAGAGGGGAAUGUCUAUUUAAAUUAUUAAAACUUUUCUGUCUUGGGAGGUGUAUCUACAUAUCUCUUAAUUGUAUAUGUUUACUUUUCUGUCUGUAAUUUCUGUAGAUCUGUCUUCAAGUCACUAAU
rnacentral:lncRNA from 1 species